rnacentral:rRNA from 1 species
UACAGAGGGGGCAAGCGUUAUUCGGAAUUAUUGGGCGUAAAGGGCGCGUAGGCGGCUUGACAAGUGGCGGGUGAAAUCCCUCGGCUUAACCGAGGAACUGCCUGCCAGACUGUCUUGCUUGAGGUUGGGAGAGGGAUGCGGAAUUCCAGGUGUAGCGGUGAAAUGCGUAGAUAUCUGGAGGAACACCGGUGGCGAAGGCGGCAUCCUGGACCAAUUCUGACGCUGAGGAGCGAAAGCCAGGGGAGCAAACGGG